rnacentral:lncRNA from 1 species
CCGGAGUGUCCCGGCCUGCCUGGACUCCAGCCGGGACCUCCCACAUGAGGCUCAUUCAUCUAUGCCCAGGAUUCUCAAAGAACCCCGGCCCCAGCCUGCUCUCUGUCAUGUGCUGAGCCCCAAGCUUACCCAUGCCUCCUGCCGUGGGGACCAGAGAAUGAGAAGACCACCAGGGAGACCCGCCCUGGAGACCAUGGUGUGCUGCUGACUCACGAGAAUGACAUCACCAAGUGUGCCCUCUGUCCUGUCACUUGGAGCUCCUGGAAGCACAGAAUGUCCCUCAGCCUGGACACUGCCCCUGGCCUGGGGAGGUAGAUGCUCCCCACCUCCCCUCCUGCCCUAGUGCAGAGGAAAGAAGAUCAAAUCUGGAGUCAGCAGACAUAGGAGUCUAAUCCCUGGUUCUGAUAUAUCUAGGCAGUCAUUGCCUUAGCCACACUCAGCCUUAAUCUCCUGAUCUGCAAAAUGGGGAGAACCACACUAACUUUGCAGUUUGCGGUGAGAGUCAAGGAAACCCACGUGAGAAGUGUCUGGCACUGUGCCUCGCAUGUAGUAAGUACUCACUAAAUACUCGUUUACAGUUUUUUUCCCCUCCCUGUCUUAACCUUUUUUUCUCCAGUAAGUGACUGGGGACAGGAGUCCACUCUAAGAACCUCUGCCUGCCCUCAGAACUCCGUGGCCAGUGAGGGCUGCAUGACCCCUUUGUGCUGGGAAGGUGCAUCUCAGGACACUGACCUGCCUGUGCCCAGGCUCAUGGUGUGGGCAGAGAAACUGUGGGAGCCAUUUGACAAGCUCUUGUUGAACAAAUGCUACACAUGAACACAUGGGCUGUGUCCUGAAGGAGGAAGAUCCAUUUUACAGAUGAAGAAAGUGAAGCCAGGAAGACAGAUUAGUUAGCUCAGCCUCACACAAGCAGGCAGAGCUUGGGCCAAAGCCUGGGUCCUCUGCUCCCGGCCCAGGAUUCUCUGCUGGACACCAGGCAACCAGCCAAGCGUGCCUGUGCCCCUCUGCCCUUCUCCUGUUCCAGCCCCUCCAAGACUCUGAAGGCCUGACCUACUUCAGAUUCUCUCCCCAAAGGCUCGCUCUCACCUCUCUCCACAAGGGUUAGCGAUGCUGCCUUCCCAGGGUUCCCCUCCUGUUCUGGAGACGGGAGAGGGAGGCCUUGUUCCCUGCAAAGAAAGAACUGUCCAGGGUCGAUGCCAAGGGCAGGCAGGUUCUGGGGCUCUGGCUCUUUUGGGUUCCCAGAUCCCCCAGGUUGGUGCAGGAAGCCACUCAUCAGGUUGUACCUCCGCAGAGCACACCCCUGGGGGUGCCUGCCCCACCUCAACAGCCCCAGAGAAAGGGCC